ACCAUUUCUCUCCCCCUCUUCGACCCUUACGUCCAUAUGUGAAGAGUUAAGCUUCAUAAUUUUUCUACACAUCAUUUUUUCACCGGUGUAUCGCUGCAGAGUUGCGUCAAUCGUUCCCCAUACCUUUUCAGUGAUGGUAUUGUCAAGGCACAAAACAAUAGAUCGAAACAAUAUAUUAGCAUGAAUAGUAACCCGUGAGGAAAAAAGUUUAAGUUACUGACCAAUUACUAUUUUUUACACCAAGACAUCAGUGAAUAGUACACCAACAGUUACCUAAACAAUACCCAGAAUAGUAAACAAAAACAAUAAACCAAAUAAACCGAAACAAUAAACCCAACUAACCCGGAACAUUAAAACCAAUGAAAUGGAAAAACACAUGAAUAAACAGAAAACAUUAACACACCUGAACCAUAAACCAAAAUAUCAACUGAAUUAUAACCAAGAACAAUACACCCAAAAAAACUGGAACAAUAAAAACAAUAAAUCAGCAUUAUGCAUUCAUGUAAACAGUAAUCAAGAAAAAAUGCCAAGACAAUCCCUACCAAAAGUGAGACUUCUUCUCCCUCGGUGCAUUUACCUACGCAAGAAGAAUAGACAUGUUCUUGCCAUUGUCUAUGAUGCCAUACUAUAUACUAAACCGGCAAGCUUGCACAUCAUAUAUAUGCUGGCAGGCCAGAAUUAAGAAUGCGAGAUGAUGGAUGCAUGCAUAUGUGGCGGCAAAAGGAACAUAUACUAUUGUAUUAUUGUACUAGUAUAACAAGGAUCGACAUCUAGGACCGGCCGGGCAUAUGGAUACAGUCCACCGGCGCUUGUUGUGGGAAGCAUGAUCGACUGAGAUUUCUAAGGCUUACAUGCAUGGUCCACACUCCACUAGUCCGCAUAAUUAGUGCACACGCGAGAGCCCAUAGAUGAGUAGAGGAGCCUAUUGGUCGACAAAAAUAAGGGCAUGCUCAAUGGUAGCGAGACAUUGAAUUUGUGUUCAAGCAGCUACUCUAAACCGCACCUCACUAAGUGCAGGGUUGGGUCGAGGAUCCCACCCAAGGACGG
rnacentral:lncRNA from 1 species